rnacentral:snoRNA from 1 species
UGCCUGUGAUGAAAAGAUUCUGCCAAAUGACCUCUGAUUAUAACCCAUACCGUUCCAUUCUUUCUGAGGUG